rnacentral:hammerhead_ribozyme from 1 species
AUCCAGCUGACUAGUACCAAAUAGGACGAAACACGGCUCGUCCUGGAU